GUUUUUAUUACUAUAAUGUUUAGAAUUACAAAUCUGAUGCAAAGCAUGUUUAUUUAAACUUUAACUGAUAUAAAUGAAGCUCAGCAAAAACAGGAAGACAAUCUCCUCACAUGUACACUAACUCUGUUUUUCUAAUCAGCUGUGGAUCAGAUCCUGACAGUCAGCCAGUCGAUGCUAUUGGAUUUUACAUGUUCUCCUCUAUGCUGCUGUCAGUUCUUUCAUUAUUAUGAGUUCACAACUAAUAUUCAUGAGCUGUACAGCCCUGUUAGUUUAUUCCACCAAUGAGAUCUGUGGGGUUUCUAAGACGCCCCUACAUAUAUCAGAGGAGGGCUGGGAGGAGCUGUGAUACAGCAGCUCCUUCUACACAGACCAGACAGAGCUGAGGACACACAACAAAAGGAAAGCACAAAGGGAACCAUCACUCUAUAUCAGCACAUCCAUCAACUUUUUUCCUGCAGUGCUGGGUCAUGGGGACUGGAGUCUAUCCCAGCUUUCUACAGGUGGAUUCUGAAUAACCUCAACAGAGAAAGAAAUAGAAUAGAAUAGAAUAUACUUUAUUAAUCCUUUUGGGAAGGUCCCUCAGAGAAAUUCAAGAAGGAGAAAACACACAAGAGACUGAUAUGAUGGCAGCUGGAAGCAAUGACAAAGUAAAGCCUGAGCUCACACUUGUGUUACUUGGUGACACCAGUACCAUCGAUGUUGGAUCCAAAAACCUCUUAGUUGACCAUGAAGACCAAACACACGUGGUCAAACUUUCAUCCAAGCUGUAUGAUUUGUGUGGUCGACAAAUCUCAGUCAUUAACAUGCUUGGUUUGCCAAACAUUGACCAAAUCCCAUUAAAUGAACCAGUUCAUGCCUUUCUCCUACUGAUAUCAAAUGGUCUGCACAACCGUCAGUACAGAUCAGGAGUGCAGUGGUUAGAAAAGGCUGCUGGGAAAGAAAGUCUUUCUUAUAUGAUGACAGUUGUGACUCAUGAGCCUGAUUCAACAUGUGAAAGUGUGCUGACAGAACUGAAAGGUCAAAGCACCUUUACUGAAAAAAGAUACCACACAUGUACAAGAAGUAUGAUGGAUGAAGCAGAGAUAAUAACUCUGUUAGAAAAAAUAGACGUCAUGGUCACUGAAAACAAUCCCAGCUGCUACAGACUGAUGUGUGAUGAGAAUGAAGAGCAGCAGGAAGACCUGGACCACAAAUCCCACAAAGAGGAAGAUGCUGAGACAGGAGAAGAGAUGGUGGCUGAAGCCAAGCUAAAGGUAUGCACUGCUAAUGUUGAUCUUGAUUCUAAAUGGUGCUGUCUUGGUCUCAUAAUUAUUAAAAACCCUUACUUUUUAAUCAGUGUGAUUCAACGAAUGAACCUGGAGGUGCUGGAGACUCAGAGAAGACUGAUGACAGCACAGGAGGGGAACUUGAAAACAGGUCUGAACCAUCUGAAGCCAAAGAGAAAGAUUGUCCUGCUGCAGAAGAGAUGGAAAAUAAAUCUGAGAUCAAGGAACAGGU
ensembl:lncRNA